CCUACGGGUGGCAGCAGUGAGGAAUAUUGGUCAAUGGCCGGAAGGCUGAACCAGCCAUGCCGCGUGAAGGUCAGUGCCCUAUGGGCGUUAAACUUCUUUUGUGCGGGAACAAUAAUGGUCACGUGUGGCCAGACGAGAGUACCGUACGAAUAAGCAUCGGCUAACUCCGUGCCAGCAGCCGCGGUAAUACGGGGGAUGCAAGCGUUAUCCGGAUUUAUUGGGUUUAAAGGGUGCGUAGGCUGUGAGGUAAGUCAGCGGUGAAAUGCCCCCGCUCAACGGGGUGAAGUGCCAUUGAUACUGCCUGGCUGGAAUGCGGAUGCCGUGGGAGGAAGGUGUGGUGUAGCGGUGAAAUGCAUAGAUAUCACACAGAACACCGAUUGCGAAGGCAUCUCACGAAUCCGCGAUUGACGCUGAUGCACGAAGGCGUGGGUAUCAAACAGGAUUAGAUACCCGAGUAGUC
rnacentral:rRNA from 1 species